GAACGCUGGCGGCAUGCCUAACACAUGCAAGUCGAACGAGACCUUCGGGUCUAGUGGCGCACGGGUGCGUAACGCGUGGGAACCUGCCCUUAGGUUCGGAAUAACUCCCCGAAAGGGGUGCUAAUACCGGAUAAUGUCUUCGGACCAAAGAUUUAUCGCCUUUGGAUGGGCCCGCGUUGGAUUAGCUAGUUGGUAGGGUAAAAGCCUACCAAGGCGACGAUGCAUAGCUGGUCUGAGAGGAUGAUCAGCCACACUGGGACUGAGACACGGCCCAGACUCCUACGGGAGGCAGCAGUGGGGAAUAUUGGACAAUGGGCGAAAGCCUGAUCCAGCAAUGCCGCGUGAGUGAUGAAGGCCUUAGGGUUGUAAAGCUCUUUUACCCGGGAUGAUAAUGACAGUACCGGGAGAAUAAGCUCCGGCUAACUCCGUG
rnacentral:rRNA from 1 species